GUUGAAGUUCCAAAUUAUAGUAUAUCAAUUAACGAUUGAAAAUCAAUACAUUGAAUAAGACUAAACUUUAAUUUGGAUGCCGAUUAUGAGUGUGUCAAUUGAAUUUUGGCCGGCGUGCAAGGUAUCAAUCUCUUCGUCUCGUCGAGUAGUACAACUUUCCUUUUUGUUUCACUCAAUUUCGUUGAGUAUUGAAAAAGUUAUACUCAUUUGAAUCUUACCCAGUUUCCGGCGACCUCAGUGGCUUUAGAGGCAAUUUCCGGCCAAAACACAACGAGUCAGACGUCGUGUAAGUUUCCGGCGACCUCAGUGUCUUUCGAGACAAUUUCCGGCCAAACCACGGCGAGUUGGCCGGCGUUCAAGUUUCCGGCGACCUCAGUGACUUUCGAGGAAUUUUCCGGCCAAACCACGACGAUUCAGACGUCGUGUGA
rnacentral:sRNA from 1 species